rnacentral:rRNA from 1 species
GACGAACCGAGCGAACGUUGUUCGGAAUCACUGGGCUUAAAGGGCGCGUAGGCGGGCCGCCGCGUCCGGGGUGAAAUCCUCCCGCUCAACGGGAGAACGGCCUCGGAUACGGGCGGUCUGGAGGGGGGUAGGGGCGUGCGGAACUAACGGUGGAGCGGUGAAAUGCGUUGAUAUCGUUAGGAACUCCGGUGGCGAAGGCGGCACGCUGGACCCCACCUGACGCUGAGGCGCGAAAGCCAGGGGAGCGAACGGG